GCACCCCUCAAGCUCCGGCUUGGUCUUGGGCCUUCGCCCCCCGGGCGGUCCCGAAAAGCAGUGGCGGUCCGGAGCGACUUUAAGCGUAGUAGAUCCAUCGCCCGCUUUGAAAGUGCGCCCCGCGGCUUGCGAUCACCCCCCGACCCUUCAAUGAU
rnacentral:rRNA from 1 species